CAGUCGCCGCGGGAAUACGGAGGGUGCAAGCGUUAAUCGGAAUUACUGGGCGUAAAGCGCACGCAGGCGGUUUGUUAAGUCAGAUGUGAAAUCCCCGAGCUUAACUUGGGAACUGCAUUUGAAACUGGCAAGCUAGAGUCUUGUAGAGGGGGGUAGAAUUCCAGGUGUAGCGGUGAAAUGCGUAGAGAUCUGGAGGAAUACCGGUGGCGAAGGCGGCCCCCUGGACAAAGACUGACGCUCAGGUGCGAAAGCGCGGGGAGCAAACAGGAUUAGAUACCCCUGUAGUCCCUGUCUCUUAUAC
rnacentral:rRNA from 1 species